UGGGGAAUAUUGGACAAUGGGCGCAAGCCUGAUCCAGCCAUGCCGCGUGAGUGAUGAAGGCCCUAGGGUUGUAAAGCUCUUUCACCGGUGAAGAUAAUGACGGUAACCGGAGAAGAAGCCCCGGCUAACUUCGUGCCAGCAGCCGCGGUAAUACGAAGGGGGCUAGCGUUGUUCGGAUUUACUGGGCGUAAAGCGCACGUAGGCGGACUAUUAAGUCAGGGGUGAAAUCCCGGGGCUCAACCCCGGAACUGCCUUUGAUACUGGUAGUCUUGAGUUCGAGAGAGGUGAGUGGAAUUCCGAGUGUAGAGGUGAAAUUCUUAGAUAUUCGGAGGAACACCAGUGGCGAAGGCGGCUCACUGGCUCGAUACUGACGCUGAGGUGCGAAAGCGUGGGGAGCAAACAGG
rnacentral:rRNA from 1 species